GAGAAAUCCUCCUACGCACAGGUGGCAUUUUAUUGGCAGCUGUAGGUUCCUGGGUAUCAACAUCGCUGCUGACCUCACCUGGAACACACGCAUCUCACACCAGGUGGAGAAAGCUCAACAAAGACCUAACCUCCUGUGGAAGUUGAAGCACCAUUCGCCUCCCUCGCCAGCUGCUCACAAACUUAUACAGAUCUUUUCUGACAGCCCUUUUGCAUUCCUGCUGGCACCAUUCACAGCAAUCCCACGUGACACCUUUACACAUUCGGCAUGAAGCAAAGGAAAUUGACAGCUUCAUGACAAAUUUUGUCUUCUUGGUGAAAGAUGCACAAGUUUAUGAGUGCAGACAGGAAACUUGGGCUUGGCAUGCGUGAAAUCAAUGUUUUCACACCAAAGGUUAUGUAUUCCCUGCAGCGACUGUUUUACUUUGCGCAUGUGUCUAAGAACCUGACCCUCUACGUGCCGUGCAUGUGGAAAUAUCUGAGCGUUUGUGUGUCUUUUU